CAAUGAAUUGUGAAGUCUCUUCUAAGGCCAUGCCAGGCCCAAAGCCAACUGCUAGGGGGUCUAUGUCUAGAAGGUUAAAAAAUUUUUUAAAACACCAGAUGUAAAGAUGGAGAGGAAGGCAAAUGCUUCUUUUCAAAAUUUGACAAUAUAGUAAUGUUAUUUCUAAGAGUGAUGGAAAAAGUGCAUUUUCGAAAAUUAGUGAAUGUGUGUGUAAUAGGCCAUCCAUCUCUUCCAGCAACAUUAACCAGGAUUUCAUCCAAGGAAAACUGGAGACUGAACAGGUGUGAUCUUGUAAGGGUAGAAGGCUGAUCAGUUGAGAAUCGUCACGUGGAAUCAUCUGCAUCUGUAGGGUUGUGGCAGUUGGACAGAUGACAAGUGAGAUGUCUGCAUUUGGUUAAUGUGGAAAUGGAACCUGCAGCACUUCAAGUAAAGGUCCGGCCGUACUGAACAUCUUUUGUUGAGGGAAGUGAGUGCUUUAAUCAGCAUUUCUUUAAAUUUACAUCAAAAUCAGUA